rnacentral:rRNA from 1 species
ACCCUAUUAUUUUAAGCUAUAUAUUGGUAGUAAUUAAUAAUUUAUGAAAUCAUAAGAUUUUGGCGGUAUUUUAAGCUUAUUAGAGGAAUUUGCUCUGUAAUGGAUACAACGCCUUAAUCUUACUUAAUUUGGUUUUAAAGUCAGUUUGUAUACCACUAUAUUUAAUUAUAUUGAAUAAUUAUAUUUAAGAUUUUUUUUUAUAAAAAAUAUAUUAAGUCAAGGUGCAAUUUAUAAUUAUGAAUGAAGUGAAUUACAUUAAUUUUAAUUUUACUUAAAUAUYGAAAAAAAAAA